rnacentral:lncRNA from 1 species
UUAGUUCUUUUCAGCUCUACACUACUAUUUGUAGUAUUGUAUAUUUUACAGAUACAACUAUCGCUUCGUAUACAGGAAAAAUUUCUUUGUAUAUAGCGGAUUUGUCGGCGUGCCCGAGGAACGUGGAAUCCGGGGCGUGACAGUAACUAUCUAGAAACCAAAUUUCAUAAUUUUUUGACUUCGUUUGUUUAGUGAACAAGUAGCCUCAAAAUGAACGGCUGAAAAUGAAAAUUUCAUAAAAAAUAGUGAUAAAUGACUCAAAUUUCAAAUCGGAAGUAUUGAUCUUCCUAUUGAUGUUAUGUAGAAUUUUUUAUUAAAUUUUUAUGUAAUUUGGAUACUUCUACACCGUUGAACUUAAAACCGUGUCAUAUCGGCCAUUAAAAUAGUCAUUUUUGAAACCUUUUGAUCGCUUGGUAAAUGAUGUCAAAAAAUUAUAAAAUUUGGUUUCUAGAUAGUUCCGAUAGGGUAGAUUAUACUUAACGGAGCCGAUCGUCGAAUCGGAUGUCCUAUUAUCGAAAACAACUUACAAGCACGGAGGUCUCUGUACUUUCGAAAGUACAGGAGA